GCCUUCGUGGUGUAAUGGUCAUCACACUCGACGCGUAUCGAGAAGUCCGAGGUUCGAAUCCCGGCAAGGGCA
rnacentral:tRNA from 1 species